CCCCAAUCACACUCCAGCUUACAGAAAUACUUUAUAAGUCAAGAGUGUGUCCUCUUUUCUUCAUUUUACAAAAAGUGCAGAUUUCAAUAGAAAUAAACACUUAUCUAAAUGAACCUGGUUACACCCCCUGGCUGUCAAUCACACAAUCAGUCCUGUUACUUCCUGGUUUGGUUAUCUCAGUGGAGCUAAACUCAAGAGGCAAAAAUUGCCCAGGGCACCUGCCUUGCAAAGACUUCUCAUUGAGCUGCAUUGAGAAGUCUUAUUGGACAGCCACAUUAAGUCUGGGUGGGGUUAGAAGGGGAGGGUUGCAAAGACUGCAGACAAG